rnacentral:misc_RNA from 1 species
UUUCAGGUUGGAAAAUGAGCACUUAAAUAAUGUUGGGAAAUAUCGUGCCUCCAAGUCUGUACCCCUGCCUUUCAACUACGACGAAGACAAGAGCAUGUAAAAGGAAAAUCACCAGAGUAGUCGAGACGCAAAAAUGAUCUUCUUUUUUCCUGUUGUCUUGUAUAAUUCUUUGAUUCAUGUGUCAACGGUGCUUGUAAUGAAGUUCUGUUCAUGAAUGUAUAGGAUGAAAAGAAAGCUGAUUGAUGGAUGGAAUUAUUUUCACGAAAUAGUGCUUAGGAAAGUGAUUGAUGUAUGAAAUAAAG